UGGGGAAUUUUGGACAAUGGGCGAAAGCCUGAUCCAGCAAUGCCGCGUGUGUGAAGAAGGCCUUCGGGUUGUAAAGCACUUUUGUCCGGAAAGAAAUCCUUGGCUCUAAUACAGUCGGGGGAUGACGGUACCGGAAGAAUAAGCACCGGCUAACUACGUGCCAGCAGCCGCGGUAAUACGUAGGGUGCAAGCGUUAAUCGGAAUUACUGGGCGUAAAGCGUGCGCAGGCGGUUUGCUAAGACCGAUGUGAAAUCCCCGGGCUCAACCUGAGAACUGCAUUGGUGACUGGCAGGCUAGAGUAUGGCAGAGGGGGGUAGAAUUCCACGUGUAGCAGUGAAAUGCGUAGAGAUGUGGAGGAAUACCGAUGGCGAAGGCAGCCCCCUGGGCCAAUACUGACGCUCAUGCACGAAAAGCGUGGGGAGCAAAACAGGAUUAGAUACCCUGGUAGUCCACGCCCUAAAACGAUGUCAACUAGUUGUUGGGGAUUCAUUUCCUUAGUAACGUAGCUAACGCGUGAAGUUGACCGCCUGGGGAGUACGGUCGCAAGAUUAAAAACUCAAAAGGAAUUGACGGGGUCAUAGCUGUUUCCU
rnacentral:rRNA from 1 species